AAAAACGAAAUAAUUUAUUAGGUUUUAAUUGGAUUUGAAAUUCCUAGAUCUUUUGAGAUUCAUUGAACUUUUCAAUGGCAUGUUUCAAUCUCGAGUGUGCCCUCUCAAAUUUUGUGACUGGGAUGCCGAGGAUCACAAAACAAGGUGUGAAUAACCAUACCAAUUCACUUGGUACCCUUAAUAUUAUCACCUAAUCAAUGUGCCGGUUAACCACACACGCUCCAUUGAUCUAUGACAAACAUUAAGUCACCCUUCGUGAUCCUUACUAGUCCAAGUUAGUGUGCCGGUUAACCACACACGCUCCACCAACGACUUGGUAAGGUACAAAGUGUGAAUUCCAUGGGCUAGCACCAAAUUCACAUUUUUCCUAAAGUAACUAAGAUUGGGAAUUAAAUAAAAAAUUUUUAGUUACUUUAUAAUAAUCAUUAUACUUUUAAUGAGAAUUUAAAGUCAUUGUCCUACCCGUUCGGCUAACGACCCUCCACCGAUCAAGCAAGCGGUGGGUGAGAGUGGACACCCAUUAAGUCGCCAUUUUAUAGGCAACAACCUUAUACCCACCUUAUAGACCGGCUUCGUGAAUGAGGCCUACUAACGGUAAAACGACUUGUUCUUAUACAUAUAUAUAAUAAUUAACCAUUAAUGUUAUAAAUAGUAUAAGUGUUGAAUUUUAACUUUUAAAACUCUAAGUGUUGGAAUUAAAGUUUAUUAAAGUGUGUGAAACUUUUCAAAUUCCAAAACUUGAGGGCAAGUUUUGUAACUAUCCAAAACUUUUCAUUUCAUAACUUAUGAAUUAAAGGUUCAUAAAAAUGAAGACUCUUCAUUUUCAUGUAACUUAUGUGUUUAAAUGUGUGUGUUAAAGAAAAGUGACCUUUGGAUAUCCAUAACUUGAGGACAAAUUAUGGACUCCAUUAAAACACAUAAAUGAUCAAGAAUUAAUUCUAAACAAUUCAGCAAAUAAUUCCUAUCAUCUUCUAAAUUCAUAAGAACAUGAACAUGAUCAUCAAAAUUUCAAGAAUUAUAUGAACACAUAAAAAUCAUGGAAUUUUGAUAUAUGCUAUUGUAAAUGGAUUAGAACAACCAUUACACCAACUAAAACAAGUUUUAAAACACCAAAACAGUUUAGGGUAAUGUUUCUAGUCCAUUUCCAGCAGCAAAAGUCGAAAUUCUGCAUUCUGAUCAUUCUACUCGCCGAGUGCACGAACCUACUCGCCGAGUAGGAUGAAUUUUGCCUUGAACUCGGCGAGUCCCCCCAUGGACUCGGCGAGUCCAUCAGCCAGACAACAACAAUUUCAACUUUUUUCACUAUUUUGCAUCAAGUAUCAAACAAGCAAGCCUAGGCUCUGAUACCACUGUUGGGUUUUGAGCAAUCUAACACUUCCUAAGUGUGCAUGCAACCCUAAUAAACCUUGGAUCUAUGUUUGUCUAAAUACAUGCAAAAUAAUAAUUUUCCAAGGUUUAUAACCUAUCUAACAUGGCAUGGGGAACAUUUCAACAUAAAAGAGUUAGAAGAGAUUACAUACCUUUUAGAUGAGUUUGGUUCUUGAGGAGUUUGAGGGCCAAGCACCAAUAGUGUGAAUGCCUCAAAUGGAAUCACAAAACACCACAAACUCUUGGAAAACUUUGAAAGAGAAUACACACUUGUAUUUUUGGCCACACACAAGCACACACACACACACACACUAGUUUACUAGUUGCUAUUUCAUGCAACAUAAGCAUGCUUAUAUAGUGUACAUGAUUAGGGUGAAACCCUAAUAACCCAUGACUUUUCCUUUCCAAAGAUCCAUGGGUUAAAAGCUCCAUGGAUCAUCCAUGGACUUCCAUAUAAGCCUAACCCAUUAACAAAUGAGUGUUAGCCCACACCAUAUAAACCAUUAGCCCACAAUCUAAUUAGCCUUCCUUUUAAUCUAUAAAUUAAUUCAUAUUUAAUUUAAGACUAAGACUAAUUAAAUAACAUAAUUUCAUAUUAAUAUAUUAUAAUAUAUUAAUAAACAUGUGUAUAACUCUCAUAAAAUUAUCCAUAAAUAGUUUGGAUGAAAUGCAACCCAAAUGGACCAUGCCGGGUCGGGUCAAGUAUAUACCAAAUAAGUUAUGGACUUAGACACCUUAUCCAACAGACUCCNACAGUAUGCUAGUAUGAUAUUCAGGACGAGGUCCAAUGAUAGCGGGCGGGUGCCCAAGGAAUGGUUUAUGUGAUAGUUUAUACUUGUUGUCUGUGUGAUACUUGUAUGUGCCUGGUAGGGAGGUGAGUGUGAGCGAGGUCCCGUAUCUCACCAAUAGCAGAGUGUGGAUGGUGUUCCACAUCUCAUUAGCAGCAGAUCAAGGGCGAGGCCCAAGUUAGGAAANAGCAUGGACGGGGUUCCAUGACUCAUCAGUAGCAGGAUAAGGGCGAGGCCCAGGAUAGGCAAGGCCUUUGGACAUGAUCCAUUAGUAUGUGUGUAGCUUAUGUAUUGUGAUAUGUUUAUGUGCUAUUAUAUGUUAGCGGGUGAGGCCCUGUGACAGGCGAGGCCUAAGUGAAACAUAUUUGUAUCCGAGCGGGGCUCGAUGCCAGGCGCGGCCUGGGGGGGGGGGNGAUGCCAGGCGAGGCCUGGAGUGGCGGGGCCGUUGUAGCAGGCGAGGCCUGAGGUAGGGGCGAGGCCCAGGAUAAUGGGUGUGGCCCAGUAUGUGAAGUAUGUGCUUAUGCAUGGUAUGUGGUAGGGCGGGGAACUCACUAGGCUGCGUGAUUACGGUUUUAAGUUUUGGUUUCAAGUACUUCCAGUAGCGGAGGGAAGAGCUCGGGUUGAUCGCAUGGCACACACCAUAGACCAGACAGCCUGGGAAUGUUUUACUCUGAUAACGGAUAUGUAGUUUGGAAAUUAAUACUCUGAUUAUGUUUGGAAUUGAUGAUUUUACUUUAAGUAAUGCUUUGUUAAAAGAAAAUUUCAGUCUUGAAUUUUGGGACGUUACAAGUUGGUAUUAGAGCCUUGGUUUGAGGGAUUCGGACAUGCUCUCGGGUGUGUCUGAACUCAAACUGAGGAAUUGGUAUAGAAGUUUUCAAAUUGAAAAGACAGUUUUAUAAAAAGAGAGUUUUGAGAAAGAAAACAGUUUUAGAAAAACAAAAAUGAUUCAGAAAGAAAUGAACUUUGAAAAGAGAAAAAGGGUGUGGUGCAUGCAAUCAACCGAGCUCAAGUAAGUACCCCAAAAUACCCAUACAAGUUUAUGUUAUGAUUAUCAGUUAGUAGAACAACAUACUUUAUUAGGACUAAGGAUCUAAGGAGGAUGCCUUAUGUGCCUAUUAUAUGUGCUUUGAGCUGCAUGAUAGUGCUGAUUAGACAAUAGUAGGAUAGCCUGUUUAGGUUAUGCCUGAGUUUAUGAGUUGUGUUGCAUGCUAGUUCAGAUUUUUUCUAUGUGGAUAUGAUUGCUAGUGUAUGUUGUGGUUAGAUUUUCCCCUUGUCUGAAUGUUGUCUGCUUUGUGCAAUAUGGGAUUCCGAGUGAUGGGAGUUAACCAUUAAGUGGAUACGUCACGUCACAUGUGAUCAGGGUUGAAUGAUCUCAGAGUGCUGGAUUUGGCCCUAUUUCGCAGCUCUCGUUUGAGUCCAACCGUUGUAGGGAUGAUUCUUUUACUCGAAGGAUUAUCUUAGCCUCGUCACAUGUGAUGGUAUCCAGUUGANAUGAUUACUCGAAGGAUUAUCUUAGCCUCGUCACAUGUGAUGGUAUCCAGUUGAUGGCUAAUUGGCAUCACAAGGAAACCUUCAGUAGCUGAGGACUGGUUUGAGUUGAGUCAGAGGUUUCCCUAGGGCAAGCCUAGGAUGAGAUAGUGCUACGAGCAGUAUGUUGGAUUAGUGUCUAAGUCCAUAACUAUUUUGGUAUGUACUUGACCCGAUGGUGCAUGGUCCUUUUGGGUUGCCUUCACCAAAGCAACUUGAUUGGAGAAAUAAAUAGAAAGAGAGGAUAAUAUGAUUUAUUAAUAUGUUAUAAGGAUAAUAUAUUAAAGGAGAAAUCAUAUUUGUUUAAUUAAUAUUGGUCAAUAAUUAAUUGAGAAUUAAUUUUGUGAUCAAGUGUAAUUAAUUAAACUAGAGGGGCUGAAUUGUAAUUAUGUGAUAGUUACAAAAUAAGGUAAGGAUUAUCUUAUAAGUAUGGUGAACGAAUUUAAGGUUGUAAAGCCUUAGAAUUCGAGUAUGAUAAGGAUUCAAGGAUUAUCUUAUUGGUUGCUUAAUGGAUAAUCAACUAGAUAAGGAUAAUGACUGAAACCCUAUCUCUACACCUAUAUAAACACCCCUAGGGUUAUGAAUUCGGGUAUCCCUUCCCAAGAAGUCCCAAAUACGAAUUCUAACCUCCCUCCUCUCUCCUUAUACCUUCUCCACUUGCUUAUGGUGUUUGUAAGCCAUUAGAGGAGUGACACUUGUGACUCUUUGCUUUCCAAGGUCAAUUCAAGGAGGAAUUGGAUUGUUAUUGCUAUAUAACAAUCAAGGUAUGUUCUUAAACCUAUUUACAUGUGAAUUCUGAUUUCCAUAUGCUAGAAUUAGGGUUCAAAGUCUUGGAUUCAAAGUAUGUACAAUAGAGAAACCUAGAUCCGAGCUUUAGGGUUUGUAUGAGCACAUAGGAUGUCUUAUGACCAAAACCCAUCAGUGGUAUCAGAGCCAUGAUUGGUUUCUAUUGUAUUGAUGCUUGAUGUAACUGAAAAUCGUGUUUUGGCCUCACUGUUCGACCUGACUCGGCGAGUCACUCUUGGACUCGGCGAGUCAGCCCUACUCGGCGAGUUCCAGAGGGUGACUCGGCGAGUCGGUGCGUCAGACAGUGCUUAUCUCGGGAUUUCUUGCUGUUUUUGCAUUGGGAUAAUUACCUUAUCAUGUUAGAUUAAUAUUAAUCCGAUUAUAUGAUAUAUUUGACUAUAAUUUUAAUCUAAUUGAAGAUAUUUAUCAAUUAAUAGGAUAAUUGUUUCCUUAUAAGAUAAUUGAUUAAUUAUUUUAAGUAAAUUGAUAAAUUAUUUUGCAAGAAAUCAUCAAAUAUGGAUAAUUAUGUGAUUAAAUGUUAAUUUGAAUUAUUUGUUAUUUGAUCCUUGUUGUUGUGAAAAGUUUCAUAUUUGGCCCUUUAGGUUUUAUAGUUUAAAUUUGAACCCCAAAAGUUUUGUUGUUUUGAAAUUUAAAUAGUUGAAACCCUAAUGUUUUGAAAAAGGUUUCAAAACUUGCCCUCAAGUUUUGGAAUUUAAAUUUUGAUUAAAUAGUUUAAUUUUGAUGCAUAUUUAAAUUCUAAACCCUAAUGUGUUGAAAUGUUUCAAAACUUGCCCUCAAGUUUUGGAAUUUAAAAGUUGAUUAAAAGUUUAAUUAGGAAUGUUAAAUUCUAAAACUCUAGUAUAGUUUUGAAAAAGUUCAAAUCACACCCUUAUGGUUUUAUUAAUUAAUUAAGGUGUAUAAUUAAAAGAGGUUUAAUAAAUCCAUAAAAGUUUAGGUUUACAAUUUAAUUGAAUUAAAAGUAUAAUUGUUAAAUUAGACCACCUAGUAUUUUAAAAGUAUAAAAUACACCCUAUACUAUAUAUAACAUUAAAAGUCUAACAUUAUAUAUAUGUAUGAGUAAAAGUCAGUCUUACCGUUAGUAGGCCUCAUUCACGAAGCUGGUCUAUAAGGGGUGUUUAAGGAAAUUGCCUAUAAAAUGGCGAUUGAAUGGGUAUCCACUCUUACCCACCGCACUCUUGACUAGUGGAGGGUCGUUAGCCGAACGGGUAGGAUAGGACGAAACCUUCCAUUAUAAGUAUAAUGAAUUAUUAAAGUAACUAAAUGUUUUCAUAAAAUUCCCAAUCUUAGUUACUUAGGCAAAAGUGAAUUGAUGCAAUUCCAUGAAAUUACACUUUGUGCCCUUGCGAAGACGUUAGUGGAGCGUGUGUGGUUUACCGGCACACUAAAUGGUUCUAAGCAAAGGUAGCAAAGGGUGACUCAAUGUUUGUCAUAGUUCGGUGGAGCGUGUGUGGUUUACCGGCACAUCGAAUAGGUGACUGUAACAUGUGAGGGCACCAUGUAAGUUUGCAUGGUUAUUCACACCCGCUUUGUGAUCCUCGGCAUCCCAGUCACAAACAAGAGGGGCAUAUCGAGAUUUAAACAUGCCAUUGAAAGUUCAAUGAAUCUCAAAGGAUCUAGGAGUUUUCAUAGAUUUAAAACUUAAAUUUCUUUUUCGUUUUUCAUGGUGGAAAUUAGUGAAUCGUCAUUCACUUACCUUCAAAUAUUCUGCAAUUAGGGUUACGGCAUCCCUCUCCCGAGUUGUAGAAUAUUGUGUUGGGUCCUAGCCUUAGUAUCUCAUUUGGGUGAUUUACUAAGGACUCAAUCAAUCAACUAACUUGAAUUCGUUUUCUCCCGUUUUGUAGAUGUCAAAGUUCGACAACUAUGGUCUUCCCAAAUCCCGUGGAACAAGCAUUCCACAUGAAGAUGAUAUUCCACGAUUCGAUCGAGGAACAAGAAAUCAUGCUUCACUUCCUCCUCCUCCUCCAAUUAUUCUCCCUAACCCACAAGUUCAAAGGCUUGAAAAGUUCAAGAUCACUCAAGCCCUUUUGGCAAGUAAACAUAAAGAAGGAAAGUCGGUGUGUGCACACGUCCUAGGGAUGAAGUCACACAUUGAUAGGUUAAGAAUGUUGGGAUCCGUUGUCUGUGAGGAAAUGGCUGUUGAUUGGGUUCUUCAGUCACUUCCUAACUCAUAUAGUGAGUUCGUAAGAGAGUACUAUAUGAUGAACCGCGACGUGACCCUUAUAGAUCUCACCUAUAUGCUUAUUGCUGCUGAAUCAGCAAUGGUUUGGCGCAAUAGAAAAGCAAAGUUGAUUGGUGAAUCUGCCUUCAAGACCUCUAUGGAUAUAGACAAUGGCAACGAAAGACAUGCUAUGAUCGAAAAGUUUGAUCAUAAGAGAAAGGCAAUGUCUGAAGUAGUUCCAUGUCAUGUUCCAAAAGAGUCAAUUUGCUUUUAUUGCCAAGAGAAAGGGCAUUGGAGACGAAGCUGCCCCAUUUACCUAAGAGAUCUAAGAGAUGGGAGAGUCGAAACGUAUGGCUCUAAUAUAGGUAAAAUCCAUUAACUAACUCUUUUAAGCUUCUAUUCUAGAUUCUUAAUACAUAAUGUGAUAAGAUUACAAUUGAUGUUUUGUAGGAUCGAAGAAAAGAAAGGAAGCUUAAGGGAAGAAGUGAGCAGAAUCUAACCGUGAAGGAAUGGAUUUCGAUCGCAUUUCUCGAAGAUUAGAUUCUUGAGCUACUACUUAGAGUUAGAAUUAGAUUGCUAAGAAAGAUGUAUUAGCAUAGUUUUUCAAUGAAUUGCAUUGUAAGGACAAAUUUUUUCCGCAAUAAAAUAAAUUUUGAUUUUAUAUUAUUUAUUUAUCCUUGCAAUGGCGUAUAUGAAAAAUUGAUGUUUGAAUGUUUCUAUUAUUAGCAAUAAUGGAUUUGGUUCUUAUUAUGUUAUUUAUGGAAAGUCGAGAAUUUACCAAAUAGGGAGAGUUUCUCAUCGCCCAAGUUUCAAUUGGACAGAAACUUGGAAUCAUGCAACUUGGUUGCACGAUGAAUGAGAAAUUUCAUAUUUGGAAAUUAGACUAAUUCAUUGACAAAGUGUCAAGUGAAGGACUAGGAGAUCGAGUACACAAAGUUGCGUGUUGAUCAAGUCCACCAUAAGAGUAACAAAGAUAUUCGUCAUGAUUUACUAAAGGUUUAGUAAAUAUGAUUAUACUUACAAGAUUAAGUGUAAUUCUGAAUUGAUUGAAAAAGUUUAAAUCAAUAGCAGAACGAAUAAGAAGAAUCAAGUAGGCAGAAAGAUAAAAGUUUCUCCAUUCUAAGAAGAAGGGAGAGUACCUUUUAUGCUUUAUGAUAGGUCUUAAUGAUUAAGAACCAUAUCUCAAUUGAUCCUCUAAGUGAGUCUUAGUACAAUUGUAUGUCUAAGAAGAGGAAUCAAGAAUUGAAGAAAUGGUUAAAUCAAGAAGUCAAUCAUACUUCGUUCCAAAACAAGUCUUAGAGUUAAGAUUGUGACAUUGAGUGGAAAAUAUUAAGAAGGUUUAUAGCAUUCAUCAAAUGUGGAAAAUUUGGAUGUCUUGGAUAAGACAAAGACCAACUAGGACCAAUUUAUGAAGUGUUUUGAUAAAAGCUACACUAACUCUUGAAUAUUUGUUUGUCAAGAAAUGUUUAUUGACAAGAGAAUCUUAUAUGUCAAGGAGUCAGUGGGAGUCUUAAUGGUCUUGAAAGGUUUCAAGAACAAAUCAAAUAAACCUUAUCGAUCAUCACUAGCACACGAGUUGAGGUUUACAACCUAUCGUGUUGACAUUAUUUUGUUUCUGUGCCAAUCCAAUCGAGUUAAUUAUGCAUGUGAGUUCUAUGAGUUCUCAUUUUGAACGCAUAAAAGGCAAAGCACCUUAAUCAAUGAAAGGUACAUUGAUAGGAAAGGGUGAGCUGCUUAACUACUUGGAAGACAUGGUGGGCAGCUGUGCUACCAUAAGGCAAGAAAUCAAGAUUAAGAAAGUUCGGUCCAUAUGAGUUUGAAUUUGUCGUAAACUUUGGUUUUAACAAAUUCACAUGGAUAGGAACACAUACACCGUUUAAAUCUAAGUGUCAUAAGAUUUCCUCCUUCAUGAAAAUGAUUGUGAGGAAAUGCUUUCACUAAGAAAGAUUUUAAGAAGAUAGUGAUUGUAAAAUUGCAUUCUCGAAUUCGAUUAUGGUUACGGUAUCCCUUUCCAUAAUUUGAAUUGUGAGGUUUGGCAAUUAGUCUUAAUUGUUUAGACACACAUAUGAACUAUCGAAGGCAAAGGUGUAUAAGUUCAAGAAGCCUUGAUAAAAGAUUAUCAAAGCACUAAGUAUUAGAAACAUGAACUUAAGAAAUUCAAUAAGUAUUGUUUUUCUGAAAGUUAAGAUGUUUAUGAAUACAUGUCGAAGCUAGUGGGAGCAUAAGUGUUAUGUUUUAUAAUAAUCAUCAUGAUAGUGGGAGCAUAAAUGUUAUGAUUGUAUGAUUAUUAAGGAAAGUAUUGCAAGUUGGCAAUAUUAAUUAUAGAAAACAAGAGUCAUACUUUGCAAAGUUGUAAGGGUUGAAAGGUUGUUUUGCUAUAAUUAAGGGAGAGAAUAUUAUGCUUCAUUUCAAAUCUAAAGGAUUAGGUUGAGAAAUGUUAAUAAAUUUAGUCAAAGGUACAUAGUGUGUUCUUAAAAUUUCGAUUAUGAUUACGGCAUUCCUCUUCACAAUUCGAAUUUUGAGAACAUAGCAAAUAAAACAUUAUGCGUCGUGUCCCAUACGCUUCGGGUAUAGGAUCGAUUGCAAAUGCUUUAAUGUUUGACCAUUCUAAAAUUUUCCAAAUGUCGAGCGCAUUUAGAGGGAAAAGGGACUAGAAUUGGUUUUGACUAAAAUAAUUAAACAACUAUCAAAGGACAAUCCAAAGUUCGACGAGGAUUGGUCGCUUGUGAGUAGUUGGAAGUAUAGUAUUGGAAAAUAUGGAAAUGUUUCCAUAUUGGAUGGACCAUAUCGACAUCAUUACGAAUAGAUAAGAUUCUAUUAAGAAUGAGUUGUCAUAUGGAACAUAUGGAAGUGUGUCCAUAUUGGGAAUUGAAUAUUGAGAAAUCUAUGACUAGAUUAGAAACUUCUAUGCAAAAGGAUGUUCAAAGAAUGUACUUUGAGUGAGAGACAUCACGUCUAUGGAAUUGUCUUGUAACAAUCUCCGAUAGAGGACUUUGUAAUAUCAUUGGCAAUAGUCUUUGUGACUUUGGUGCAGUGACAUUACGAAAGGAUAGUUGCAUAGAAUGUUAGAAUCUAGCAUAUUCUAUAAGUAGCAAGAAUUUGAUAUUCUUUGACUUAUGAAAAACGGAUUUGGAGUUGUGAAAUGAGAAGGAUUGGAAAUGUGUUCAAUGUGAUCUAUUUCACAAAGUAAGAACCAUAGGUAAACAUUGUGUGCAUGCUAGGAGCAUGGGACAAGUGUUGGAAUUCAAGUAAGAAGUUGAUUACCCGAAACGACAAAUAAUGAGUAAUCAAUAUGGUGAUAAAUAAAAGGUGUUUUAUUUAUACUCAAAGGUUUGAGGCCAUAUGGGAUUAGUAUUAUUCUUGUGUUUCACAUUUGCAUGUUUUGACUUCCAGAAUAAUUGAGUUUAUUAAGAAUAAUCGAAUUAUUCAAACGGGCCACAGUCGUUCAUAUGUUGGAAGUAGAUAUGAAUGAAGACUGUCGUGAAUUGGUGUGUGGAUUGUCUAAAAGAGUAUUAGACAUAAGCAAAUGUUUGCUGCAACGUUCAUGAGUGCUUAUGAAUGUGAUUUGAGCAUUGGAUUAAACCCACGCUCACUUGGAUCACUCCAUGAAUUGUAUCACGAGUGAUUGGUGAGACGAUAACAUCUUAUAUUCUUGAAACCGAGAUGUGUGAGUUGUAUCUUGCAAAUCGGUUGCACAUUGAUAAUAUGUAAACGCACUAGUAACUUGGUGUUAUAAAACAUAUUGUUGUGUGUGAUUCGGUGAGUGAGUGCAAGCAAGCAUUGUAUCAAAGUUUAUCCGUUCCUUUUAUCCAAAGUAGGAUAAAAGCGAUAUCUUUGGGCCCCUCGAUGGUUUAGUGAUGACAAACGUAAAUGCUCGGCCGGGCUAGGGCUAAUUUGAUUUGUUCAAUUAGUCAGUCGUCAUAAAUCGGAAAUCGAGAUAUAGUACAAAGAGAAUGAUUUGAAAUCAUAUCUCAUAUGAUAUCUAGAAUGGAGGAAUAUAUGAUCCCUUAUCUAAGGACACGCGUAUUUGAUAUGAUCAGAGUUGACAGCGGCUUUGGAAAGCUACGAUUGCAGAUCGGGAUCUGAAGUCAUACGCAGAAUAGUUAUUAGACUUAUCCAAGUGGGAGACUGUUGGAUUAGUGUCUAAGUCCAUAACUAUUUUGGUAUGUACUUGACCCGAUGGUGCAUGGUCCUUUUGGGUUGCCUUCACCAAAGCAACUUGAUUGGAGAAAUAAAUAGAAAGAGAGGAUAAUAUGAUUUAUUAAUAUGUUAUAAGGAUAAUAUAUUAAAGGAGAAAUCAUAUUUGUUUAAUUAAUAUUGGUCAAUAAUUAAUUGAGAAUUAAUUUUGUGAUCAAGUGUAAUUAAUUAAACUUGAGGGGCUGAAUUGUAAUUAUGUGAUAGUUACAAAAUAAGGUAAGGAUUAUCUUAUAAGUAUGGUGAACGAAUUUAAGGUUGGAAAGCCUUAGAAUUCGAGUAUGAUAAGGAUUCAAGGAUUAUCUUAUUGGUUGCUUAAUGGAUAAUCAACUAGAUAAGGAUAAUGACUGAAACCCUAUCUCUACACCUAUAUAAACACCCCUAGGGUUAUGAAUUCGGGUAUCCCUUCCCAAGAGGUCCCAAAUACGAAUUCUAACCUCCCUCCUCUCUCCUUAUACCUUCUCCACUUGCUUAUGGUGUUUGUAAGCCAUUAGAGGAGUGACACUUGUGACUCUUUGCUUUCCAAGGUCAAUUCAAGGAGGAAUUGGAUUGUUAUUGCUAUAUAACAAUCAAGGUAUGUUCUUAAACCUAUUUACAUGUGAAUUCUGAUUUCCAUAUGCUAGAAUUAGGGUUCAAGUCUUGGAUUCAAAGUAUGUACAAUAGAGAAACCUAGAUCCGAGCUUUAGGGUUUGUAUGAGCACAUAGGAUGUCUUAUGACCAAAACCCAUCACAGUAGUAGUGGAUAAGGGACUUGGUGGAGUAAAAGCAUUCCUGAGGAAAGUACGGAUAGAUGUGGAAGGUAGUAUGGGCCCGUAGUACUGAAAGCAGAGGAUCCGUACUCGAUUCGGGAAAGGCCUAGACAAAACCGGGAACCUGGUAGGGUGUGUGUUUGGCCUCGCCGCAAAGAUGAGUAUUCUGAUAGUGGAUGUAUUAUAUUUUCAGCAUGGUGACGUUGAGAGAGAGGCCAGUGGGCGAAUCAGGCACCGGAGAGGGAUCAGGCUCAAGUUCAGGAGAUGAGCAGCUCGAGGAGCGAAUGAGGGAGUUGAUAUCAGCCGAGGUUACGCACAAUAUUCUAGACCAGACUCCUGUGAUCUUUGGCACAGUCAAGGAGGGUAUACUGGAGAUUUUAGAUGAGAGGCUGGGAGCCUUCCGUACCGAAAUGAUGGCCUUGGUGGGAGCGCGUACCUUGACAUUUCGAGAGUUUAGGGCUUGCAGGGCACCAGAUUAUCAUGGGGCUAAGGACCCCAUCGCUAGCAGCAGAUGGUUGGCUGAUGUUGCCAACGCAUUCCGUACGAGCCGAUGUCCUGAGGGGGACAAGGUCAGACUCGCUUCGUGUCUUCUGAAGGACAAAGCGAGGGAUUGGUGGGAGGAGACUGGUCACGCUUUAGGGGAUGAUGCCGCGUUGGACGCGAUGACUUGGAGCGAUUUCUCGUCCAGGUUCAGGGCGGAGUUUUCACCGAUUAUUGAGGUGCAGUAGUUGGCACGGGAGUUUCAGGAUUUGACGCAGAGCACUGAGACUGUGGCAGAGAUCACCACCAAGUUCAGGGAGAGGGCUCUUCUUGUACCGCAGUAUGUCGUGGAUGAGGAGAUGAAGAAGGCCUGAUACCAUGAGAUGUUGAGAGAUGACAUCAGGGAGUUCGUGAGCAGAUCCAAUUGUAAUACGCUGGAAGAUAUGAUUUCUCGGGCCAGGGAGAGAGAAAUUGAUAUGGAGCAGAUUCGGAAGAGGAAGCCGGAUGAGGUCCCGGUAGCCACAGGUUCGGGCAAAAGGCCCAAGGGUUCGGAUCUGAGAUCAAGGGAUUAUCAGGACCGCAGUCGGUGCGGGAAGUGUGGCAGGGCGCACGGGGGCACGUGCAGGAGUGGUAGCGACGGUGAGUCUGGCUGCUUCAAGUGCGGUUGGACUGGUCAUUUUAGCAGAGAUUGUACUGUUACCACCACACGGGGAUCAGACUUGUUAUGUUUUCACUGCAAUGAGCGGGGCCACAAGAAGGCCCAGUGCCCCAGUUUGUUUUCAGCAGGACGGGUGAUGGCACCUGCCGUUGCAACUUUGAGGAUCACAGACGGCUGUCAGGUCCGUGCAGAGGUGCCUACGGUAGGAGGCAGGGCUUUUCAGAUGACCACCUUAGAGACGCGAGCAGCACCGGACGUUGCAGGUAUGCGACUUCCGUUUUCAAUUCUUUUAUUUAUGCAUGAUUAUAUUGUUAUGGUUAUGCAUCGAUUUUGGUAUGAGUAUUGUAUCAUGGUGUGGCUUGCUUUUGAUUAUGUUAUUUGCCGUCUGCAUACGUUGGAUAUUUGAAUGGUAGUUAAGAGAUGGUCUCUAUUGGAGAAGGUUACAUAUGAUCCAGUAACUGUAGCAUGCUGGGGAGGGACUUGGUACGUCUCGCCAGUUCAUAGUGGUAUUGUUUUAGGGAUGGUUAGGUUAGAUCCCUGGCUAGGGUAAGCUUGGGUUCCUUAGUAGAUUGAUUGUGGAGUGGUAGCAAGGACUGGGAUUUCUUUUCGAGCAUUGAGCAGCAAGGGUUAAGUAGGAUCGAAGUGGGGGAGAAUCCUCCGAGUGUGCAAAGGUAGGAGCACGCAGACCCAGAAUAAGUGCCCGACCUCCGAGAAGGAAAAGAAGUAGUUCAACGUUUGAUGGAUUGAGGAGUUCAGGGUUGGGAGUUUGAGAAACCCCCCCCCCCCCCNAUUGGCGAUGGUUAGUUUGUUGUUGGGAAUUCGGGUUGGAGGAUCGCCUGUAGGACUCGGGUGAGUCAGAAGGAGGAUCUUGAGAACUGAUAGAAUGGGGUGCUUUCAUAUUAGCAUUCAGUGGUAGAAAGCGGUGUAUGACUACGGGCAGCCGUAGCAUUCACUAGCAGUCAGUGGUCGGAAGUGUUGUAAGACUACGGUGCAGCCGUAGCAUUGACUAGCCGUCAGUGGUGGAAAGUGUUGUAAGACUAUGGGGCAGCCAUAACAUUCACUAGCAGUCAGUGAUGGAAGUGUUAGGUUUUGAGCAUUCUAACACUCCUAUGGUGUACAUGCAACCCUAUAAACCUUGGAUCUAUCUUUUCUCUAUUAUACAUGCAAAUAAGAACUUUCAAAGGCUUUAAUCCUAACUAGCAUAUUAUGAAGUUCUUAUACUACAAAGUACUAGUUAGAUGACAUACCUUUUGAUGUAGCUUGAUGUCUUCAAGCUUUAAGAGCUUAGCCCCAAUAGUGUGGAAGCCUCAAAUGGAAUCACAAAUCACCAAAACACCUUGGAAGACUUUAGAGAAUAUGGAUACUUGGUUCUCUCUAGUGAAAUUGGCUAGCCCUCUUAGUGUACCCACACUAGUGCCCAUUUCACCAACCAAGGACAUCUUUAUAUAGUGUGGAGGAUUAGGGUUAAACCCUAAUACCCAUGACCUUUCAUUUCCUAGGAUCCAUGGGUUAAAGCUCCAUGGACUAUCCAUGAAGACUUAGCCCAACCUAAAUGAACUUGGCCCAGUACACAUAUAUAUCUAAGAGUCCAUAUUUAAUUAGUUCAUUUUGAUCACUUAAUUAAUUAUAAAUUAAUUCUUGAUCAAUACUAAUUAAAUAAUAUGAUUAUAUUAAUAUAUUAGAACUUAUAACAUAUUAAUAUAAAUCAUAAAUAUAGUAUUCUCAAAAUACUAUCCAUAUAAAUUCUGCGGGUGAAGUGCAACCCAAAUGUACCAUGCCGGGUCGGGUCAAGUACAUACCAAAUAUAGUUAUGGAUUUAGACAUUAAUCCAACAGUCUCCCACUUGCAUAAGUCUAAAACUAUUAUUGAGUAUGAGUUCAAAACCUAACUGGCAAUCGUAGCUCUUAAAGCCGCUGUCGAACUCUGAUCUUGUCAACGAACUUGUCCAUUAGAUAAGGGAUCAUAUAUUCCUCCAUUCUAGAUAUCAUAUGGACUGAGACAUGGAUUAUAAUCAUUCUCUCUGUCCAUUUGUUGUUUCCCGAUUUCCGAUUCAUGAUGACUGACUGAUUGAACAAAUCAAAUCAGUCCUGGCUUGGCCAAGCACUCACAUGUAUCAUCAUUAAAUCAUCGAGGGGCCCACAGAUAUCGCUUUUAUCCCGAAGGUAAAAGGAAUGGAUAAACUUCGACUCAUAUGGCUUGUUCUACUACUUGUUGAAUCAUACACAAAGGCACGUUUUAUAGCACCGAGUUACCAAAUGCGUUUUCGUGCAAUCAAUGUACUAUCAACUCAUAGUAACAACUCAUAUCUCUAGGUUUGAAGAAUAUAAGAUAUUAUCGUCUCAUGAUCACUCGUGAUAAAAUCCAUGAAGUGAUUCCAAUGAGCGCGGGUUGAAUCCAAUACUCAGAACUUAUGAGCACUCAUGAGUGUUGUAGCCCUUUGUCCAACACCUUAGACCUCUACAAGCCAACCCAUGACAGUCUUAAUUCAUAUCUACUUCCAACAUAUGACCGACUGUGGAUGGUUUGAAUAACUUAGUCAUUCCGGAAGAAUAACCCAGUUUAUUCGGGAAGUCAAAACAUGCAAAAUGAAACACAAUAAUAAUUGAAUCCAAUAUGGUAUCAACCCUUUGAACAUAAAUAAAACACCUUUUAUUUAUCACCAUAUGAUUACACAUUAUUCAUUGUAUACUGUUUCAGCUAUCAACUUUAUUCUUGAAUUUAAAACAAUAGUUGUCCCAUGCUCCAAGCAUGUACACUAUGUUUUCUUAAACACUAGUCAUGCCACACACCAAGUAUGCAUACUAUGUUUGUCUAUGAUCUUUACUUUGUGAACUAGAUCAAUUGAACAUAACUUCAAUGAUUCUCUUUUCACACUCCCAAAUCCUUACUGCAAAUGCAAGAAUUCCAAAUUCAUGCCAUUUACUGAAAUCUGUUAGAUUCUAAACUUAUAUGCAUUGAUCCUCUUGUAAUGAUUAUGCACAAAGUCACAAAGACUUGGCAACAAUCAUUACAGAGUAUUCCAAAGGAGAUCAACUCCUUGGAAAUAUCCUUCUUGCAUUAAGUUUCCUUAAUCUUACACAGAUUGAAAAUUCUAACUUUGAAACAUUUCCAGAUUCCAUUUUGACUAUCACUUCUGAACAAGAGUUGCCUCCUUACAGAUUAUGUCAAUAUGGUCCUUCCAGAAUUAUCACUAUACUUCCAAUUGUCCUUGAGUAACCAAUCUUUGGUAAACCUUAGAUUGUCCUCGACAAUUGUUUAAUCCUUUUAGUCAUAUCCAGUUCUAAACCUUUUCCCUUCUUAAUGCCCCAGGCAUUUGGAAAAUUUUAGAACGGAUGAAUAUAGCACAUGUAAUCGAUCCUAUAUCCGAAGCAUAUGGGACACGAUUCAUGAUGUCUUACAUAAAGACUAAACCAGUCUUUUGCUAUAAUAUUUCCAUUUCAAUUUGCCAAGUUCUCAUAAUUCAGAUUAUGAAAAGGGAUGCCGUAAUCAUAAUCGAAUUUUAGAACGCAAAUAAUGGACCCAUAUACAGAAUUUCCUUAUGUUGAGCCAUUCCAACAUGAAAUUCAUAUAUAUCCUUGACUAAAUGAUUAAAACCUCACGAUCUAAGCUUAUAGAUUUGAGAUGAAGCAUAAUUUCCUCUCCCUUAAUUAUAGCAAAACAACUUUUUCCCAAUUGAAACUUUUGUUUUCUAUAAUUAACAUUGCUAACUUGCAAUACUUAUCAUAAUUAUCAUGCUCCCACUAACAUGAUGAUUAUUAGCAUAACACUUAUGCUCCCACUAGCUUUGACAUGUACUCAGAAAUCAGCUGGACAGUCUGAAAUUUAGAUUCAUACACCCUUUCCGUAGAUAGCUCACCUGUGUGUCUAAGCAAUUUCAAGAACCAUGAAAAGGGAUACCGUAAUCAUGGUCUCAAUUGCUUAGGCAUUUGCCAUUUCUCACAAGUCCAUGUUAGUGUGCCGGUUAACCACACGCGCUCCACUAACGACUUUUGAAAAUGCAAAUAACACAAUUGAUAUCUUCGUAAAAUCUACUUAGUGAAAGCGUUUCCUCACCAUCAUUUUCAUGAAUCGGAGAGAAACCUUAUGACACUUAGAUUUAUAUGGUGUAUGAGUUCCUACCCAUAUGAAUUUGUCAAACCAUAAUCACAAGACAAAGAUAAUGACAAAUCCAAAACCAUAUGGAUUGAACUCAAUCUUAACUUCUUGCCACCUGGCAGCUCAAGGGCCUGCCAUUGCUUCCAAGUUGUUGUGCAACAAAUUGAGAACUCUAAGAACUCAUAUGCAAAACCAACUUUAACUGGAAUGGGCACAGAAUAUGUCAACACGAUAGGUUAUGAACCUCAAGUCGUGUGCUAGUGAAGAACUUUAGGUUUUAUUCUUGAUUAUUUCUUGAGACUUUCAAGACCUUUAAGACUCCCACUGUCCUCUUGACAUAUAAGACUCCCUUGUCAAACAUCCAAGAGAUAGUGCGGAUUCUAAUCAAGAAAAACACUUUACCCAAUUGGCCUAAGUUGGUCUUUGUUUUAUCCAAAACAUCACAACUUACCAAUUUCAAAUGUACAAGAGUAGAAAACUUUUACUCUUACAUUUGACAAGUGUUUUAAACCUUCUUUAAGACAUGUCACUCAAAUGACAAUCUUGGAGUAUGACUCUAAGACUUGUAUUGGAACGAAGUAUGACUCAUCUUCUUGAUUUAACCAUUUCAACAAUUCAAGUUCCUCUUCUUAGUCAUAAGAAUGCACUAAGAUUUCCUUAGAGAACUAAUUUUGAUAUGGUUUCUUAAUCAUUAAGAUGAUCACAAAACUGAUACUAAAGUACUCUCCCAUCUUUUCAGAUUUGAGAAACUUUUAUCCUUCUGCCUUAUUUGAUUCUUCUUAUCGAUCUUUAGUGGUGGACUUAAUCAGUGCACAAGAAUGUGUACUCGAUCCCUAAGUCCUUUACUUGACUCACACAUCCAUGUGAACAAGUAAUUAGUCUUAAUUUUCCAAAACUUGAAAGUUCUCAUUCAUCAUGCUAUACAACUUGCAUGAUUCCAAGUUCCGGUCCAAUUGAAACUUGGGUGAUGAGAAUCUUUCCUUAUUUGGUAAAUUUAGACAUUACCACAAAUGAAAGAAUCAAUUUCAUAUUUCCACUCUUGCUCUUAAUGGAAUCAUAUAAGCAACAAUUUUUCCUCAAAUGCCAUUGUAAGGAUAUUUUAAAAUAAAUAAAAUAUAAAAAAUUUUCUUUUAUUUUAAAACUUUGCGGAAAAACUUAUCCUUACAAUCCAUAUGAAAACUUGUUGUUAUCUAUUCCUAAGCAAUAUCUCAUAACUCCUAAGAAGUAGCUCAAGAAUCCGAUCUUCAAACUAUGCGAUAGAAAUCCAUCUACGCCAUCAGAUUCAGCAUAUUCUUUCUUUAAGUUUCUUCACUUUUCUUUGAUUCUUAAAACAUCACCAUGUGACCCAGUCACAUCAUGUAUCAAGAAUCUCAGAAUAGAAACUUAACAGAGUUAGAUAGUGGACUUUACCUGAAGUAGAGUCAAACUUAUUGACUUUAACAUCCUUAGGUAAAUUUGGCAGCUUCGCAACCAAUGCCCCUUCCUUUGGCAAUAUAAACAUAUGGACCCUUUGAUAAUGGUACACGGGACUAUCACAGACUUAGCUUUUCUCUUUACCAUUUGGUCAACCGAGUUGACUAUGGCCGAUCCCUUUCCAUUGGGAAGAGAAUGCUUUUCUGGAUUUCCUGUGUCACUAUUGUCAAUGUCCAUCAAGUUUUAAGGAAGUUGAUCUUAACAAAUAGAUAAGAUCAUUAAGGGUCUUGUCAUAGUCUGUUUCAUAGGUGUCCCAAAGGAACUCACUAUGUGACUUAGAAAGUGAUUGAACCACCAACUUUCUCAAGACUUUGACACCCAACUCUCCCGGCUUGUCAAUAUGUGACUACAUCUCCAAGAUGUGACCACACCUAGACCUUGCCUUGCCAAUAGGGCCUGAGUGACCUUAAACUUUUCAAGAACUUGUGGGUUAGGGAGAAUAAUUUGAAGAGGUGAAGAAGUAUGAUAUCCAUGGGACAUCAUCUUCAUUAGGAAACCUUGUUUCAAGAGAUUUGGGAAGAUCAUAGGUGUCUAAACCAGACAUCUUUUGGGAGAUAUUCAAGAUAGUUGAUUUAAAGUCCUUAAUAUGACACCCAAUAUGAAAUAUUAAGGCUAGGACCCAACAAACUAUUUUAUAACUUAGAAGAGGUAUGCCGUAAUCCAAGCUAUAAAAUAUUUGAAGGUAGGUGAAUGACGAUUCACCAAUUUCCACCAAGAUAAACGAAAUGUAUUAUUAGGUUUUAAUUGGUUUUGAAACUCCUAGAUCUUUGAGAUUCAUUGAACUGUUCAAUGGCAUGUUUCAAUCUCGAGUGUGCCCUUCAGGUUUUGUGACUGGGAUGCCGAGGAUCACAAAACAAGGUGUGAAGUAACCAUGCAAAUUACUUGGUACCCUUAAGUGUUUACCCCUCAAUCGAUGUGCCGGUUAACCACACACGCUCCAUCGAUACUAUGAUAAACAUUAAGUUACCCUUUGCCUACCUUGUUAAAUACAAGUUAGUGUGCCGGUUAACCACACACGCUCCACUAACCGACUUAAACAAAGUGCAAAGUGUAAUUUCAUGGAUUAGCACCUUAUUCACAUUUUCCUAAGUAACUAAGAUUGGGUAUUAUUAAGAGUUUAGUUACUUAGUAUUUAUCAUUAAUACUUUUAAUGAAGGGAGAAUUCUAGUCCUGUCAAACCCGUUCGGCUAACGACCCUCCACCAGUCAAGCAAGCGGUGGGUGAGAGUGGACACCCAUUAAGUUGCCAUU
rnacentral:lncRNA from 1 species